rnacentral:rRNA from 1 species
UACAGAGGGUGCAAGCGUUGUUCGGAAUUAUUGGGCGUAAAGGGCGCGUAGGCGGCCUGGCAAGUGGAAGGUGAAAUCCCUCGGCUUAACCGAGGAACUGCCCUCCAAACUGCUUGGCUUGAGUCCGGGAGAGGUGAGUGGAAUUCCCAGUGUAGCGGUGAAAUGCGUAGAUAUUGGGAGGAACACCAGUGGCGAAGGCGGCUCACUGGACCGGAACUGACGCUGAGGCGCGAAAGCGUGGGGAGCGAACGGG